UCGGAUAUGGUGUAAGGGUAACAUCGCCGUCUUUCAAUGUCCAUUUCAAAAUAAGCUGAAGAGGCAGAUCGAGGUUCGAGUCCUUGUGUCCGAA